GUUGAGAUAGUACAUUGUGUGUGUAUGUGUUUUUGCAUCUGUGUGACCCAGUCUCAAACCUCUCCGUGCAGCUGCCAACCUCAGGUAUGAAGACCCGUUUACUGUUCCUUUGCCUAUUGGCCUCAGCAUUUGCUGUGUCUAUCAAAGGCAAACCUCACGGCAAACAUCAAGCUUUAUCCAAGUCCUCACACACAGCUAAAGAGAAGGACAUUGUUCCAGAUGAGGCC